GUAUGUCUAUUAUAAGUUUUUUUAAUAUAUUUGUUUUGCAUUCAAAAGAUUAUGAUGUACU
rnacentral:tRNA from 1 species